rnacentral:rRNA from 1 species
AGGACGAACGCUGGCGGCGUGCUUAACACAUGCAAGUCGAGCGGAAAGGCCCUUCGGGGUACUCGAGCGGCGAACGGGUGAGUAACACGUGAGUAAUCUGCCCUUAGCUCUGGGAUAGCUCCGGGAAACCGGGAUUAAUACCAGAUACGACCACUUUAGACAUCUGCCGUGGUGGAAAGAAUUUCGGCUAAGGAUGAGCUCGCGGCCUAUCAGCUUGUUGGUGGGGUAACGGCCUACCAAGGCGACGACGGGUAGCCGGCCUGAGAGGGCGACCGGCCACACUGGGACUGAGACACGGCCCAGACUCCUACGGGAGGCAGCAGUGGGGAAUAUUGCGCAAUGGGCGAAAGCCUGACGCAGCGACGCCGCGUGGGGGAUGAAGGCCUUCGGGUUGUAAACCCCUUUCAGCAGGGACGAAGCGAAAGUGACGGUACCUGCAGAAGAAGCGCCGGCUAACUACGUGCCAGCAGCCGC